GCCAGGCGCGGUGGCGCACGCCUGUCAUCCCAGUGGCUUGGGAGGCUGAGGCAGGAGGAUUGCAUGUUCAAAGCCAGCCUCAGCAAUGGCAAGGCACAAAGCAACUCAGUGAGACCCUGUCUCUA
rnacentral:sRNA from 1 species